CUCGGAAUCAUCGCUUUCGUAUUCUCUACAAUCUUUUAAAGUUGUAUCAUCGAUUCAUUUUUAUCAACACAAUAUUAAUUUGUGUUUCAAAUUCUAUCUUGUGACUUGAAUCUAUAAAAGAAAACAGUUCACAAAAAUAUCUGACUCAAUAUUACUCGCGUAAGUUAAGUAUUAAGCGAAAUCGUUACCUGUUGCCACCUCCUGAACAGCUACUGCAUCUUGCGCCGUCAUAUUGAAUGUACGAGCUGUCGGUCUUCCCAGUUGAGCAGGUUCUUUGAUUGCCAGUGUUCCACUGCUGUUUCCUUUAUUGUUGUUUCCUCUUUCUUCAUUCUUCUUUGGACAGUUAUGAAUUUGAUGUUCUAGCGAUCUACAUGAAAAAUAACCUGAUAUCUUCUUUGGACUUGGACAAUUUGGAGAGAUGUGUGUUGGGUAAAAUCUAUAUACGCACAACACGCAAGUAUACGUGGUCAACAAGUAAUAAAGUAGUGAAUAGAGUAUCGUUCCCACGAGGACAAAAUAUCAAGAAUUUUAACUUCAUAAUUAUCAAUUUUGUAUUAACCCUAAUUUUAUUAAACUAAUCAAUUCAAUGGUUUUAAAUUAUAUAUAUAAAAAACUAAAUUAAUAAAGAAAUAAACUAUCACAAAACAGUCACCAAUAACGAAAUCCGAAAUUUCAAACCAUUAAUGGAGAAUUAGACUUAUGAUUUCACCCUGAGCUUCACUCUGAUUAUCAAACCUUUAUUCCAACUCAAUUUAAUAUCCCAG
rnacentral:lncRNA from 1 species